UGAACGCUGGCGGCGUGCCUAAUACAUGCAAGUCGAGCGAACAGACGAGGAGCUUGCUCCUCUGACGUUAGCGGCGGACGGGUGAGUAACACGUGGAUAACCUACCUAUAAGACUGGGAUAACUUCGGGAAACCGGAGCUAAUACCGGAUAAUAUAUUGAACCGCAUGGUUCAAUAGUGAAAGACGGUUUUGCUGUCACUUAUAGAUGGAUCCGCGCCGAAUUAGCUAGUUGGUAAGGUAACGGCUUACCAAGGCAACGAUGCGUAGCCGACCUGAGAGGGUGAUCGGCCACACUGGAACUGAGACACGGUCCAGACUCCUACGGGAGGCAGCAGUAGGGAAUCUUCCGCAAUGGGCGAAAGCCUGACGGAGCAACGCCGCGUGAGUGAUGAAGGUCUUCGGAUCGUAAAACUCUGUUAUUAGGGAAGAACAAAUGUGUAAGUAACUAUGCACGUCUUGACGGUACCUAAUCAGAAAGCCACGGCUAACUACGUG
rnacentral:rRNA from 1 species